CUGCUUGCUGACCACAGAGCCCACGAGAACCGACGUUAGCAACAUGAGCCAGAACCGUCCUCUGCAGAAUGCCAUUUCAUGUGAGGCCCUGAUGAGCUCUAUUUGUGGAAGACAGCUGAAAGGUUCACCAAGCCCGAGAAUAUGCAUCUGCCCUCACUGAAAGGAAACCACUUCCUACUUCUUAAAAUAACCAGGAUUGGAAAGAAGCUGUGCACCAGGUCAUUAGUGGCAUCAGGACACCGAGUGCCGCAGACAGAGAAAGACUGGUACCGAGAGGUGGAAGAGCUGCUGAGACUGGAGCUGCUGUCUGAUUAACUGACUGGCAGGUUUCUGCGGCCCAUCCACUUCUACUGUACCUGUUCCUGCAAGGCACAGCAGCCAGCCACCAGAAGCUAGCAACGCUCAGUGUUAACCCUGGGGAAGAAACUAACCCCACCCCCCUGAAAAGAUCGUCCUGGCAGCCUAGAAUGGUAUACUCUCCAUGGGGGUAACCUCCAGACGUUUCUGUAAGUGGGCAAGGAGGAGGCUGUUAAAAGUUCCAAAGUUAAGCAGAAGCCAAACUAUGCAAGAUCUUGCAAGCUACGGUAUUUCUGUACAAAACUGGCUGCCCUCAAGACCAUAAUCCUCCUGCUUCAGACUUCUGAGUGCUGGAUUUAGAGGCGCAUGCUUCAUGGUCCCCCUGCUUCAGACUCCCAAGUGCUGGGCUUAGAAGCGCAUGCCCCACGCCUGGCUUCAUGAGAGAGUUCGUCAGGCUCUUUGAACAUCCUAGAACGCCAAGUAACUGAGAAAAUUCUUGUCUCCUGGUACGAUAGACGGAGUUUCCUUUUCAUUUUCUGUCUUGAUUGAGCGCCAUAUAGUAGAGAUUCAUUAAAAUCUACUCAAGUCU